rnacentral:rRNA from 1 species
GACGAACGCUGGCGGCGUGCCUAAUACAUGCAAGUAGAACGCUGAAGGAGGAGCUUGCUUCUCUGGAUGAGUUGCGAACGGGUGAGUAACGCGUAGGUAACCUGCCUGGUAGCGGGGGAUAACUAUUGGAAACGAUAGCUAAUACCGCAUAACAGUAGAUAUCGCAUGAUAUCUACUUGAAAGGUGCAAUUGCAUCACUACCAGAUGGACCUGCGUUGUAUUAGCUAGUUGGUGAGGUAACGGCUCACCAAGGCGACGAUACAUAGCCGACCUGAGAGGGGGAUCGGCCACACGGGGACUGAGAAACGGCCCAGACUCCUACGGGAGGCAGCAGUAGGGAAUCUUCGGCAAUGGACGGAAGUCUGACCGAGAAACGCCGGGGGAGUGAAGAAGGUUUUCGGAUCGAAAAGCUCUGUUGUAAGAGAAGAACGGGUGUGAGAGGGGAAAGUUCAAACUGGGACGGUAUUUUACCAAAAAGGGACGGCAAACUACGG